rnacentral:rRNA from 1 species
CAGCCGCCGCGGUAAUACGUAGGUGGCAAGCGUUGUCCGGAAUUAUUGGGCGUAAAGGGCUCGCAGGCGGUUUCUUAAGUCUGAUGUGAAAGCCCCCGGCUCAACCGGGGAGGGUCAUUGGAAACUGGGAAACUUGAGUGCAGAAGAGGAGAGUGGAAUUCCACGUGUAGCGGUGAGAUGCGUAGAGAUGUGGAGGAACACCAGUGGCGAAGGCGACUCUCUGGUCUGUAACUGACGCUGAGGAGCGAAAGCGUGGGGAGCGAACAGGAUUAGAUACCCCUGUAGUCCCUGUCUCUUAUAC